GUGAGGACAGGGAAAGACUUUGAAAUGGGCAGAAAAGAUUACGGGAUGUCCUGCAGGUUCAGUGUGCUUUGGCCUAUUUUUCAACUGUCUAAAUUUUCGCCGCCAAAGUCGCCAAAACCGCCUUCGCCGCAGCUGCAGCCAAAGCCUCCUCCUCCUCCUCUUCCUUCUCUCUCCUCCCUCACCUCCUCCUUCCUUCUAGGAAGCUUACUGGAGUGAAACUUGAACGUUUUCAAAAAAAAAUCAUUAACGCAAAUGAUUCUUGUCCAAAGAAACAGAAAUAAUAGAAGUGUGAAGGGGCGUGGGAGGGGGUUGAGAUGUGCCGCGUUCAGGCCCGGGGCACCGGCGAGGGUGGGCGUGUGAGCGGGGGGUGGGGGCGUUAACGGUGUCUUCUCCCCACAAAUGAAAGAGAAAUAGUAAAUUCUCCUGCGGGUGGCGAAUCAGGAGGGAAGGUGGAGCCCACAAUCUUUGCAAACUCUCUGGGGAGCCAGGGGUUUUGGCAGAGUUCAAAGACUGGGAAGCAAAGUUCAGCCAUGUUGGGCCUUUGGGCUCAUAGAUGAGCAAGGGUACCCCAAUAUGAGGGCUCAGCAAAUUCUGGAACUUAUCAGUUCUGAAGACCUUUAGAGGAGAAGGAGACAAGUAAAAGGUAUGUAGUCCUGGAGGGCGCUGCUUAAUGAACCAGAAGUCCUGCCUCUUAAGUACCUCACCAGCUCAAAUGUGUGCAUGUCACCUUGGCGUGAAUCGGAGCAGGCGCUGGUGGAUACCGUUUGGAGGCAUGCCAGCAAGGAGCUCCUUGUGUAGCCUGCCUCUGGAGCCUCAAGUUCAACUUCCAUAGGGCCAAAAGGGGAGUCGGGCUGGGCAGAAGCUCCUGAGAACCAAAGCAAAUGGUCUGAGAGUCUGAGAGUGUAGUGGAGGUAACGUGUUCGUGUCCUCUCUGGCUGCAUCACCCCAAGUCCUUGCAGACUCAAGUAGCCUAUUUGCAAGUUUAAAUAGUUUGAGUCCUGGCCGGUAACAAGAAUACUCUACAGUGGCCCAGAGUCAGGGAUAUAGAGUGGCGACUACUUGGCAGAACUGGAGCUUGCUCAGAUGAAAAGAUAAAUUGUACUGGUUAAACGAAGAUCAAGUGCAGGGUCUGGACUUUGUUUCUAUCUUUCAUGUGGACUCUAUAAGCACCUACACACAGCAUUCUAGAAACACUGCUCCCAUCCCUCCUGUCUCAUGUCAUCCUCCCAAUUCCGGGAGUUGGGGGGCAUACUCUUUCCCUGUGUCAUGUGAGAAAUUCCUUUCUCAUGGGAAGCAGGUGGCAUUCCUGGACUCUCCUUGGCCUGGCCGUUGGUAAGCACAGGAAUUCAAGGUGUCUGAAUCUCUUGUCAAAGGUGGGCUGUAAGGCUCCAGAAGAGGAGGACAGAAAGUGCCUGCAGAGCUCCUGCCUGAGGCCUUUGGAUGGGCCCUGCUGGCUUGCCGUGUGUGUGUGUGUGUGUGUGUGUGUGUGUGUGUGUGUGUGGUGUCGUGCUUAUUUGCCCCAAAUGAGGCAAGAGAGCAGUGAUCAGGUGUCUCCCCAGCAUCUAGUUUCAUGAAGACAAUAGAAGUGGGUCGGAUCAGGCCUGCUGCCAUGCUUGGCUUGCCCAUGUCUCCUAGGAUUGGCUGCCUGGUGGCCAUCCCUUUGCCAUCCCCUUGACUGCCCUGUGAAUGAUGUCCACUCUGAGACCCCAGGCCACUCAGAAAAACUGAAGAUUCUCAAGUUCAGGUGCAGUUAGGGGGCAGGUCCUGGUGGUGGGGGAGCUUUGAUGUUCUGCAGUUGGAGGAUCCUCUUUCAGAAUAGUAAUGCAAUUUGUGAAUUAAUAAAAUUAGGUAUGCAAGAGGAUAUGUAGAAAAGAAAAAUCACAAGCUACACAAUUUUUAAGUUGACAAAACUACGAACAUCACAAAAUAAUAUGAUAUUUUAAAUUAAUUAUCUGCCUGGAAUACUCUGUCAUUUUUUUUUGAUCUUUUGCCUGCAUCGUCUUUGAUAGCAGUGUUUUUGAUAUUGCUUUUUAUAGAGAGACUCAAGAUAAUGGAGUCUACUCUGUUGUGGUUAAUUAAACAUUUUUUGGUGUUAUUCAUAGUUUGAGAUGUUUCUUUUAGCUUCUCAACCUGCUAUACAGAUAAAAAGCACUUUCAUGUCAGGUAAAUAUUUAGAAUUGUUGCCAAAUUUUAAAUUUCCUCCAUCAAUUUUCUUUCAUAUGUCAUAUAUGAGUUGUGAGAUUUGGAAGGAUAUUUCAGACCAGCUUCUGUAUCUAUUUUUUUCUCUAAUCACAUGCUACUGGUGGUGUGGACAGUAGUAGCACAUGACCAUAUCAGGACAUGAUCUAUCUUGGUGUCAUGGCUCUCAGUGAGUCUGCUUGGAGGGUAGUAGAAGUAUCCCUGGACGUCAUUCCUACACCAGGACAGCAAUAACUUAGCUCUCCAAGGAAGUUACUGUGAACCACAUGCACAUAUUCUACUCAAGUCAAUGUGCCCCCAACUCAAUUUGUCCUUAGCUAGACCCCAAAAGUUCUCAUGGGGAGUCUCACUCCCCUUCCACUUAACAUGAUGGAAGGCCUGAUUGGAGGGGGGCGUCAGCAGUGGGAAGAGACACAGCCUUCACUGAUUGCAGCUAAAAUGUCUUACUUUUGAAAAUAGGACAAAAACAUAUGACCAUGUGCAUAUACUGCUGAAGCCCCUCCCUGGGCCAUGCAAGGUGCCUAUGUGAGUGCAAGUGAGAUGCCCGGAAGUGUAAGUUUCAUCUGCUCAGGAAAGGGCCAGGUAUUGCCUGGUAUCACAUUCCAGGGGAAAGGAAGAGACAGUCAAGGCCUUAUGGCUCUUAACUUUGAUCUUAGUGCUUCGUAUUUUCCAUUCUGCAUGAUACAAAAACAGAUUUAAAUCAUGUUCUAGAUAGAGAUGAAAAGCAUUUUCACUUUUGGCAGGUCGUGGAACAUCAAUCAAUAUUUGUUAAUUGGUUGAACUGGAUGCAUAAUUGGAAAGCUAAUGGAAGGAGAUAUGUUUUACAAGGAAGGGCCCUUGGUGAUCACUGAUUAGUCAUUUUUACAGAUAGCAAAGCCAGGAAGGGGAAUGACUGUCUGAAGGUGGCAGUGAAUGACAGAGCUGAGGCCCAUGGCAAGGUGCACUAGUACACUCUGCCUUUGCAUGACUGUAAGCAAUUAAAGUCUCAUCAGAAGUCAUUGUGAGUUAAUACACGGAGCAAAUAUAGGUGCAGAUGUCUAGAAGCAACAAUGGCAUUUACAGUGAAGCCAAACAUUGAAGGUUUACUGUAAAAUGUUGCACUGAAUUCUUUAUAUACACCUGUUUUGGUUAGUCAUUAUUCUCUCCAGUCUGUGGGUUACAUGCCCCUUGCUGACCCACAGUACCAUGCCACAAGAUAGGCAGUGUAUUGGCCAGGUGCACACCUGGCAAAAGUCUACUCUGCUUAGGUUCAGCUGUGGAUGGGUUCUGUGCGCCUUGGAUGGGGUCGUGAAAACUGUGGGACUACAGGACUGGGCUUGUGGGCAGAAGAGUCAUAGGGCACUCUGCCUAGGAAAAGGGAAAGGGGCCUGUUCCUACCAGGUGCUCUGCGGAGUGUCCACACUGCAGGGAAAGGCUCAGGUCUGAAUAGGAGGUGCAGACUUUGUGUCUACAGGACCCUGCAAACCUGAGGCCUUGUGGAGGUUUGGUCAAGAUGGAGAGGCCAGUUAGCGGCGUACCAUGGGCUAGACUGUCCAUGACGUGGAGUAAAAGGCAGCUAUUGGCACUGAGCUAACAACAGUGGGAGGUGGGGCCUCAGUGGAAGUGGAUUGCUUGCUUCUCAUCCUGCCUCCAACACUUGGUACCCACAUGACCCUGCACAAGGAACCUGUUUGUCCCAUCUGAGCCUCUGCAUCUUGGGCUGUCAAAAGCCAAGAAAAAAAAAUUGUAAGACUGAUCUCAUAGGGUCGUUACGAGAAUUAAAUGAGAUAAUCCAUGUAAAGCAACUGACAUGUAAAAAUAACAAUAAUGAAAG
rnacentral:lncRNA from 10 species